rnacentral:rRNA from 1 species
UCAAGCGAAUAAGCGCACACGGUGGAUGCCUAGGCGGUCAGAGGCGAUGAAGGACGUGGUAGCCUGCGAAAAGUGUCGGGGAGCUGGCAACAAGCUUUGAUCCGGCAAUAUCCGAAUGGGGAAACCCACUGCUUCGGCAGUAUCUUGCAGUGAAUUCAUAGCUGCUUGAAGCGAACCCGGUGAACUGAAAUAUCUAAGUAACCGGAGGAAAAGAAAUCAACCGAGAUUCCCUGAGUAGUGACGAGCGAACGGGGAACAGCCCUUAAGCUGGAAUGGCUUUAGAAAAACAAUCUGGAAAGAUUGGCCAUAGAAGGUGAUAGCCCUGUAUUUAAAAGGGCCACUCCAGUGAAGACGAGUAGGGCGGGGCACGUGAAACCCUGUCUGAAUAUGGGGGGACCAUCCUCCAAGGCUAAAUACUCCUGACCGACCGAUAGUGAACCAGUACCGUGAGGGAAAGGCGAAAAGAACCCCGGAGAGGGGAGUGAAAUAGAUCCUGAAACCGUGUGCGUACAAGCAGUAGGAGCUCGCAAGAGUGACUGCGUACCUUUUGUAUAAUGGGUCAGCGACUUACUGUUCGUGGCAAGCUUAACCGUAUAGGGGAGGCGAAGGGAAACCGAGUCUGAUAAGGGCGCAUAGUCGCGGGCAGUAGACCCGAAACCGGGUGAUCUAGUCAUGGCCAGGGUGAAGGUGCCGUAACAGGUACUGGAGGCCCGAACCCACGUCUGUUGCAAAAGACGGGGAUGAGCUGUGAUUAGGAGUGAAAAGCUAAUCGAACCCGGAGAUAGCUGGUUCUCCUCGAAAGCUNCCCACGUCUGUUGCAAAAGACGGGGAUGAGCUGUGAUUAGGAGUGAAAAGCUAAUCGAACCCGGAGAUAGCUGGUUCUCCUCGAAAGCUAUUUAGGUAGCGCCUCGGACGAAUACUACUGGGGGUAGAGCACUGUUAUGGCUAGGGGGUCAUCGCGACUUACCAAACCAUUGCAAACUCCGAAUACCAGUACGUACUAUCCGGGAGACACACGGCGGGNCACUGUUAUGGCUAGGGGGUCAUCGCGACUUACCAAACCAUUGCAAACUCCGAAUACCAGUACGUACUAUCCGGGAGACACACGGCGGGUGCUAACGUCCGUCGUGAAAAGGGAAACAACCCAGACCCACAGCUAAGGUCCCAAAUUCACUGCUAAGUGGAAAACGAUGUGGAAAGGCAUAGACAGCCAGGAGGUUGGCUUAGAAGCAGCCACCCUUUAAAGAAAGCGUAAUAGCUCACUGGUCGAGUCGGUCUGCGCGGAAGAUUUAACGGGGCUAAGCAGUGAACCGAAGCUUGGGGUGCGUAAAACUUCGGUUUUAUGCGCGGUAGAGGAGCGUUCCGUAAGCCUGCGAAGGUGGAUUGAGAAGUCUGCUGGAGGUAUCGGAAGUGCGAAUGCUGACAUGAGUAACGAUAAUGCGGGUGAAAACCCCGCACGCCGAAAGCCCAAGGUUUCCUUGCGCAACGUUAAUCGACGCAGGGUUAGUCGGUCCCUAAGGCGAGGGCGAAAGCCGUAGUCGAUGGGAAGCAGGUUAAUAUUCCUGCACCUCGCGUGAGUGCGAUGGAGGGACGGAGAAGGUUAGGUGUACCGGGCGUUGGUUGUCCCGGGGAAAGGCGGUAGGUUUGGAUCUUUGGCAAAUCCGGGAUCCUUUAAGACCGAGCACCGAGACGAGCCUUUAUGGCGAAGUCACUGAUACCACGCUUCCAGGAAAAGCUCCUAAGCUUCAGCUCACGAAGACCGUACCGUAAACCGACACAGGUGGGUAGGAUGAGAAUUCUCAGGCGCUUGAGAGAACUCGGGUGAAGGAACUAGGCAACAUGGCACCGUAACUUCGGGAGAAGGUGCACCCUUUUUGGUGGCUCAUGCGAGCUAUAGCUGAAGAGGGUCGCAGAAACCAGGCCGCUGCGACUGUUUAUCAAAAACACAGCACUCUGCAAACACGAAAGUGGACGUAUAGGGUGUGACGCCUGCCCGGUGCUGGAAGGUUAAUUGAUGGGGUCAGCCGCAAGGCGAAGCUCUUGAUCGAAGCCCCAGUAAACGGCGGCCGUAACUAUAACGGUCCUAAGGUAGCGAAAUUCCUUGUCGGGUAAGUUCCGACCUGCACGAAUGGCGUAACGACAGCGGCGCUGUCUCCACCCGAGACUCAGUGAAAUUGAAAUCGCUGUGAAGAUGCAGCGUUCCCGUGGCAAGACGGAAAGACCCCGUGAACCUUUACUAUAGCUUUACACUGAACGUUGAGUUCGUCUGUGUAGGAUAGGUGGGAGGCUAUGAAACUGUGGCGCUAGCUGCAGUGGAGCCAACCUUGAAAUACCACCCUGUCGUGCUUGACGUUCUAACCUAGAUCCGUUAUCCGGAUCAGGGACCGUGUAUGGUGGGUAGUUUGACUGGGGCGGUCUCCUCCUAAAGAGUAACGGAGGAGCACGAAGGUACGCUCAGCGCGGUCGGACAUCGCGCACUGUGUGCAAAGGCAUAAGCGUGCUUGACUGCAAGAUCGACGGAUCAAGCAGGUACGAAAGUAGGUCUUAGUGAUCCGGUGGUUCUGUAUGGAAGGGCCAUCGCUCAACGGAUAAAAGGUACUCCGGGGAUAACAGGCUGAUACCGCCCAAGAGUUCAUAUCGACGGCGGUGUUUGGCACCUCGAUGUCGGCUCAUCACAUCCUGGGGCUGUAGUCGGUCCCAAGGGUAUGGCUGUUCGCCAUUUAAAGUGGUACGCGAGCUGGGUUCAGAACGUCGUGAGACAGUUCGGUCCCUAUCUGCCAUGGGCGUUGGAAGUUUGAGAGGGGCUGCUCCUAGUACGAGAGGACCGGAGUGGACGAACCUCUGGUGUUCCGGUUGUCACGCCAGUGGCAUUGCCGGGUAGCUAUGUUCGGAAGCGAUAACCGCUGAAAGCAUCUAAGCGGGAAGCGCGCCUCAAGAUGAGACUUCCCGGGGCACAAGCCCCCUAAAGGAACCAUAUAGACUAUGUGGUUGAUAGGUCAGGUGUGUAAGUACAGCAAUGUAUUGAGCUAACUGAUACUAAUGAUCCGUGCGGCUUGACCAU